UCUAUUGAUAUCUUGAAGUAGCAACGUGUUUCAGAUCAAAAAUUUUAUCAACAUCUUCACGUUUGUCUCACAUUAAAUACCUUUGACCUGGUGUAACUGAUACACAAAAUUUAUUCAGAAAGUUCAAUACUAGAUAAAGAAGCAUAGCCUGUUGCAACACCACCUUCAUUAGUUUUUUUGGGUUUGGUACGACAAAUGAAACCCGACUGUCCAUUUUGAACGACUUCGUCAGUCUUGAUGUUCCAAACGAUCGUACCUAAAAUACCAAUUUCGUCGACGACAUCAAACUUUUCAGGUCUUUCUCCCUUCAAAAUAUAGUUUUGUGAUGGAACGGCAUUUAUAUAGCGCAUUAAAAUGUAAGAGUCCCAUUCUUCCUGAGGCAUUUUGCUGAGUAAACCAGGAAUGUCUUUUCCAUACGUAUUGUUUCCACCACCCUCUCGUUGAGGCUUUAAGACAAAGUCCUCGGGUUUUUCGAAUGCGAGUUUAAUACCUUCCUUUCCUCGAGGUGUAUCAUCAAGUGGAUACAUAUCAGCGAAGGUAGAACGUACUGCUUGUAAUUCGUCACCCUCUAAAAAUCUUUCUAAUGCAUUACUUUCAGCAAGUACUUGUUGAAUUUUCUUCGAGCCAGCUAAAUGCGUUGAAAUAGAAGGGCAUUUUAUAGCCAACGUAUUCUCAAUAGUUAAACGCAUAUCCCAUGCUUCUUGAGAAGGGUAAUCAUCCAAUGCAUAACCGACUCGAUAAUAAACGACUGCAACUUCAUAAGUGGUAAAACUAGUUUUCAUGUAAAGUUUGUUAGAUGAUUUAUCAUGUAUGAGGGAAUUGAGUUCAGCAAUGUCAAUACGUUUGGAUAUCACAUGGAAUCGAUUAAGCAACUCAUAUUCCAGGGUGCGUUGGUCCGUAAUGUUUCGUUCUCC